GGAACAAAGGUCAAAUAUAUAUUUAUUAUGUCACACUUGGCUAAAUCUCAAGAUAUAGAAUGGCUAGUUCACAUGAAUUUUUUAGAGGUUGUAUCUUUCAAUGGUUAUAUCCUACUAUUUUUAAAUCCUGGAGAACACAAAAAGAAGUGCAAGAUAUAAUAGUCAAGCAUCAAGAUCUACCUAAACACAUGGGGCCAGACCCAAGAAUACCACCAGAAACCAGAAGUGAGGGGAGACCAUUAAUAUAGCUAAUAGAGGACUGCUUCC